ncrna:unclassified sequences skipping-rope RNA
AGAUAUUGAGGUGGUAAACAGGUGCAACCACACACCAGAUUGGUUAAAAGAGAUCCGGGGAAUGCGCCACCCGGCAAUAUCA